UGCGAAAACUUAUACUCGUAGUUGUUCCCUGCAAAAAAAAUCCAUGAGCCAUUUACUAGCAACUCCCUAGAGCUUCCACCCUUUUAUCGAUUGCGUGCUGAUUCGAACUCACAAUUACAACUCACUCUUGUCUUGAAAAGUAGAAUCAAAGGAGAAAGGAAGAGAGAAAUUGUGAAACUACGAAAAAGGAGUAAUAUUAUUCAAGUCGAGAGCAGUGAAUGGGCGAAAUAAAAAAUUUCAUUGGGGAUGUUCAACAUUGAAUAUGGAGAUGGUGGUCGAAUGAUGAGGCCCUUCGUACGUGCUCAAAUCAGUCGCUUUCACAGUGGACAGGUUUGUUAUGCACCUAGAAGCUUUUUCGGGGUUGAAGAUUUCGUGGACGAUGACAAUAGCAGACCAUACACAUAUCAGAAGGGGAAAAAGUCGAAGAAUCCAAACAAACAUGUUUCAUUCAAGCAACGUACAGUAGCUUAUAUGGAAUCAUUCACGCUCGAUUUCUUCAUAUCAAAGCGCUUUGUCUCAGCCUCUAUAACCCAUCGCGUUACGUGCAAACAGGUCGCGGUAGCUGGUACCAACUCCAAAGACAUCAAGGCAGUUCUGAAAUCUAGAAGUGAUACCUGCAUGUUUGCCUGUGGGAAGUAUUUUGGCUGACAGAGCAAGAGAGGCUGAUGUGUACACAGUUUCUUAUACUCCUAGGGACAGAGACAAGUUUGAAGGGAAAAUAAGAGCAGUUGUUCAAUCCCUUAUUGACAAUGGUAUUGACGUUAAAGUUUAUCUCGACUGAAAUGUUUUCUACUAUCCCUCACCCCCAACCCAACAAAAAUCCUUUUCAACUUUUUUUCUUUUAAAGUAUCACAAUGUUUACCAAGAUGUCUUAUUGAGAUUUGAGAGCCUCCUUUAGGCUUCUAAGUUCCUUUCCUGUUUUUUAUGGUUAGCUGAUGCUUAUGGUGA